rnacentral:rRNA from 1 species
UGGGGAAUAUUGGACAAUGGGCGAAAGCCUGAUCCAGCCAUGCCGCGUGUGUGAAGAAGGUCUUCGGAUUGUAAAGCACUUUAAGUUGGGAGGAAGGGCAGUAAGUUAAUACCUUGCUGUUUUGACGUUACCAACAGAAUAAGCACCGGCUAACUUCGUGCCAGCAGCCGCGGUAAUACGAAGGGUGCAAGCGUUAAUCGGAAUUACUGGGCGUAAAGCGCGCGUAGGUGGUUCAGCAAGUUGGAUGUGAAAUCCCCGGGCUCAACCUGGGAACUGCAUCCAAAACUACUGAGCUAGAGUACGGUAGAGGGUGGUGGAAUUUCCUGUGUAGCGGUGAAAUGCGUAGAUAUAGGAAGGAACACCAGUGGCGAAGGCGACCACCUGGACUGAUACUGACACUGAGGCUCGAAAGCGUGGGGAGCAAACAGGAUUAGAUACCCUGGUAGUCCACGCCGUAAACGAUGAGUGCUAGGUGUUAGACCCUUUCCGGGGUUUAGUGCCGCAGCUAACGCAUUAAGCACUCCGCCUGGGGAGUACGACCGCAAGGUUG